GUCUACGGCCAUACCAUCCUGAACGCGCCUGAUCUCAUCUGAUCUCGGAAGCUAAGCAGGGUCGGGCCUGGUUAGUACUUGGUUGGGAGGAUGAUGUCCUCCACAUCCAUGUUGUCUCAAACA
ensembl:rRNA 5S_rRNA 5S ribosomal RNA